GUUACCUUUGACAAUAAUACAUGCGAAAUUUUGUGACGAUAACUCGUCAAAUACAAAAGUUUUCCAUACAAGGACAUGAUUUUUAUCAAUCAGUUUGUAUGCCAGCUAUAUGCUAUGGUAGUCCGAUAUCGGUGGUUCCGACAUCCUUUAUGGAGAGCAGAAAACAAAAUUUCAGAUCGAUAUCUCAAUAACUCAGCGACUCAAUAACUCAGUGCGCAUAUAUACAGAUAGAUGGAGAGGCGGACAUGACUAAAUCGGCUCCGCUCGUAUGUAUAUGUGCAUAUACAUACAAGUAUAUACACUCUAUAGGGUCUUUGGCGUUUUCGAGUGGAUGUAACAAACUUUGUGGCGAACUAAUUAUACCCCAUCUAGGGUAUGAAAGAUAUAUUACCCUGCCACACAAAAAAAAAUCUCUUUACUAAAAAAUCUUUAAAAUUGCAUAAUAAUGCAAUGUAAUUUAUUUUGUCAAAGAUACCAACAAAAAGGGUUCGACCAACAGCCUUAGGGCCUACCACACAUUCGAUAUGACUCUAACUUGAAGCUCAGUGCCCGAUUAGUUAUAUACUUAUACUAAACAAAAUAAAUAGUUAGACAAAUUGUGAUAACUCAACAACUCAACUAUGAGCUAACAGACAAAUGAACAAGUAAAAAGCAAAAGAAUGUCAAACUGCAUAAAACUACAUGAAACACAUAGCUAUGAACAACAACAACAGCAACAAGAAGAAUAACAACAAACUAAGUCAAUAAUAUGCGAGCGCAAAUACCGACAGUUAGCUAAAGCAGCUGCAACAACAACAGCACAUGUCAAAAGUACAAGCAGCAACAGCAACAGGUAUGCACGAAAGUGAACAGCAACAAAAACAACAACAACAGAUAUAACAACCCUGAAAAAAACAACAACAAUAAAAGCAAUCACUCACCGCAACGUGUCAACAAACCACUCGGAUAUACUUAUGGCGGAUUACGAACUUAAAGAAUGUUUAAGGUCAGAGAACAGGCGCACCACAACAACAACAAAAUACGGCAGCAAAAAAGUCAGUAAAACAAAAAAAAAAUGCCAGAAGGAAAGUUUUUUUUCUCUCAUGCAACAUCUUUUUUCGUUGCGCUGCCAGAGGCGGCGUGCGACGGCUUGUAACCCGAUAGCUGCUUCCGACAGGAGUAGCUUACGACGACGAAUCAUUCACCUACUUUGCUACCCGCAUACAAGACGCACGUCUAUGCUGCUGCAAAUAUAUUUAUGUCUGACAGUAGAUAUGUACAUAUGUCUGUAUGGCUGUGUGGCUGCCGGUGUGUAUGUCUAUCUGUCUGCGCUUGCUGGCAUGUCAGUCGCUCUUGUCGGUGUGUUUACACAAAUUAGGUGAUUUUUUGAUUGCUCUAUAAUAAA